CCUACGGGAGGCAGCAGUGAGGAAUAUUGGUCAAUGGGCGGGAGCCUGAACCAGCCAAGUCGCGUGAGGGAAGACGGUCCUAUGGAUUGUAAACCUCUUUAGGCGGGGAGCAAUGCCGGGCACGUGUGCCCGGAGGAGGAGUACCCGCCGAAUAAGCAUCGGCUAACUUCGUGCCAGCAGCCGCGGUAAUACGGAGGAUGCGAGCGUUGUCCGGAUUUACGGGGGGUAAAGGGCGUGUAGCCGGGAAGGCAAGUCAGAUGUGAAAUCUGGAGGCUCAACCCCCAAAUUGCAUUUGAAACUGUUUUUCUUGAGUACUGGAGAGGUAGACGGAAUUCCUUGUGUAGCGGUGAAAUGCGUAGAUAUAAGGAGGAACACCAGUGGCGAAGGCGGUCUGCUGGACAGCAACUGACGGUGAGGCGCGAAAGCGUGGGGAGCAAACAGGAUUAGAUACCCUUGUAGUC
rnacentral:rRNA from 1 species